rnacentral:rRNA from 1 species
UACGUAGGGUGCAAGCGUUAAUCGGAACUACUGGGCGUAAAGCGUGCGCAGGCGGUUUUGUAAGUCUGACGUGAAAUCCCCGGGCUCAACCUGGGAAUUGCGUUGGAGACUGCAAGGCUGGAGUCUGGCAGAGGGGGGUAGAAUUCCACGUGUAGCAGUGAAAUGCGUAGAGAUGUGGAGGAACACCGAUGGCGAAGGCAGCCCCCUGGGUCAAGACUGACGCUCAUGCACGAAAGCGUGGGGAGCAAACAGG